UAGUAAUCGCGGAUCAGAAUGCCGCGGUGAAUGCGUUCCCGGGUCUUGUACACACCGCCCGUCACACCAUGGAAGUUGGGGGUGCCCAAAGCCGGCAGGGAAAUAUGCUGUCUAAGGCAAAACCAAUGACUGGGGUGAAGUCGUAACAAGGUAGC
rnacentral:rRNA from 1 species